ensembl:misc_RNA 7SK 7SK RNA
GGAUGCGAGAGCAUUGUGGCUGUGACAUUUGUCACCCUAUUGACCACCAAGGUUGAUUCGGCCGAUCUGCUUGGUUAGUUGGAUGUUCUCUCCCUCCUUCACCACUUCUUGUAUGUCUCGCCUGCAGCUGCAUGUUGUGGUUGGUUGAAGAAGAGAGCUGUGUUCUCUGUCAAGGGUAUGGGGAGUCUCUGUGCUCCCCUGAUAGAACUUCUACAAACAAAAAAGAUACAAAUUAAAUAAUUUUAGAUGUAGUAUGAUUUACCUUGUAGAUAGGCUUUUUAUUUAACAAG